CUACGGGUGGCUCCAGUGGGGAAUAUUGGACAAUGGGGGAAACCCUGAUCCAGCAAUGCCGCGUGUGUGAAGAAGGCCUGCGGGUUGUAAAGCACUUUCGGUUGGGAGGACUGCUUCUAGCACUAAUAUUGUUGGAAGUUGACGUUACCUUCAGAAGAAGCACCGGCUAACUCCGUGCCAGCAGCCGCGGUAAUACGGAGGGUGCAGGCGUUAAUCGGAAUUACUGGGCGUAAAGCGCGCGUAGGCGGCUAGAUCAGUCGGGUGUGAAAGCCCCGGGCUUAACCUGGGAACUGCAUCCGAUACUGUCUAGCUUGAGUACAGGGGAGGAGAGUGGAAUUCCACAUGUAGCGGUGAAAUGCGUAGAUAUGUGGAGGAACACCAAUGGCGAAGGCAGCUCUCUGGCCUGAUACUGACGCUGAGGUGCGAAAGCGUGGGGAGCAAACAGGAUUAGAUACCCGGGUAGUC
rnacentral:rRNA from 1 species